ACCAAUGCAAGGCUGAAGUGUGUGAAAUGAAGGCCGUUACAAUUCAGGUACGUUAACCAUCAAGUUUUUCACAUGUUCUCAUUCAUUCAAACAGAUUCGAGACAUCUUUCUUCCCUCCAUAUGAGCUCCGCUCUAUUCCGCCACGCCAGAAAUCGCCUCCGGCGGCGAAGGCAAUCAAACCAACAUCUUAAUCACAUAACCAGAAGCGCAAUUUCAUCCUCAACCAGAAUCUCUCCUUGCUUCUAUCCAAUUUCCAACUCAUGUUUCGAAAUCCAAAAUUUGAUCCACGAACCCUAGAUCUUAUAACAGAAAUUAAAUGGAUACCGUGCAUGGAUUCACAUCAAAAUCCUAGGGCUAAUGAUCUUGAGGGUAUAUAAUAUGAUAUGGUAACAAAAUUGUGAUGAAAUAAGAAGAGGAAUACCUCCGAAGCAGAGGUUUGCUCCGGCGAACGUUGAAUUGAAGGAAGAAGGUUGCAACGCGAGGAAAUCACUUGAAUCCGGCCAUGCAGAUUUAGUUUGUGCCCAUAAAAUGAGAGUUGCACAUUCUACUUGGCUUCCAUCGGAUUGGAAUAUUUUGGUCAUGAGAAAGUAUAUGGACAUGAAUAUUAAUGCUUAGGAUUAGAACCUUUAGGUAACAUGUUAGUUGAAAGUUGAAAGUUGAAAGUUAAAUGAAAUUGUAUUGAAUGGAAUGUGUACAUGAAUGAAAAACAUAGGUUGAAUGAAAGUUUGAAAAUUGAAUAAAAUGGAAAAUUAUAUUCUAUUGAAGACA